rnacentral:misc_RNA from 1 species
UUUGGGUUUUGGCAGAAGCACACCGAGAACCUGUAACGAGAGAUAUUACUACGUUCAGGACCCAGCGGCGCCGCCACUGAUUUUAGAGCCUGCCAUUACUGACAUAGACUCAAUACCAAGCUAAGCUUGAGGGUUGAAAUGACGCUCGAACAGGCAUGCCCCCCGGAAUACCAAGGGGCGCAAUGUGCGUUCAAAGAUUCGAUGAUUCACUGAAUUCUGCAAUUCACAUUACUUAUCGCAUUUCGCUGCGUUCUUCAUCGAUGCCAGAACCAAGAGAUCCGUUGUUGAAAGUUUUAACUAUUAUAUAGUACUCAGACGACAUUAAUAAAAAGAGUUUUGGUAUUCUCUGGCGAGCAUACAAGGCCCGAAGGCAGCUCGCCAAAGCAACAAAGUAAUAAUACACAAGGGUGGGAGGUCUACCCUUUCGGGCAUGAACUCUGUAAUGAUCCUUCCGCAGGUUC